rnacentral:tRNA from 1 species
CGGGGUGUAGCGCAGUUGGUAGCGCGCCUGGUUUGGGACCAGGAUGUCGGGGGUUCGAGUCCCUUCACUCCGACCA